rnacentral:lncRNA from 1 species
CCCACUGCUGGGUACUUAAGCUGUAGAAAGUCAGAGGCCUGUCCCUAGUUCUGCUGGAGUGGAGCUGAGAGAGGCUCUUGGGAGCUGCCUGCGUGGGCAGAGUUUGAAGGCUUAGGAUAUCUCCUGAAGGCCGGAUGGGCCAGUAGAGAUUAACGAGGCUUGAGCUGUCUUGAAAGAUGGCUGCCCUGAGAACUGGCUAGAAGAGGAGACCAAGGAGGCUGUGUGGGUCACCCUUGCAUUGGAGAUGAGGGGAGUCGUGAGAGAUCAGUGGGGAGCCCAUUGCCCUGUUGGGGAACUGCCUGGUGGAGCUUUCCCAGGGAUAUUUUAAAGAACCUACAUGGGAGAAAGCCUGCAUUUGGACAUCUUCCAGGCCAUUCAAUAGCCAAAGAGAACCACCAACAGCUUGAAUCAAAAAAAAGUGGGUCACUGACAAGAAAAUUCACCUGGAGGCCAAAUUGUCUCUAAUAACAAGUCCAAGACAUGCAUUCCAGCUGGAAUCCUCUUCCCGGAUGGUUGUGUGUUUUUAAUUGCAGUAGCCAUCUCCAAAAAUGCCAUCCAGUAACCAUGCCCUUGUGUGCUGCCCUUUCCAUGAAUCUGAGCUAGCCCCAUAAUUUGCUUUUGGCCAUUGGAUGGUGGUGGAAGUGAUGCUGUGUGACUUUUGAAGCUGAGUUACAAGCAGCCUUGGACAGUCUUUCUAGACCUCGUGGAGGGCUCACUCUGGGGGAAGCCAACCAGCAUGUAAGGAGCAUAACUGCCCUGAGACCGCCGUGUUGUUAGGAUGCCCAGCUAGCUAUGUGGAGAAGCUGCAUAGACUGAGGGAGAAGCCCAGCUAGUCCCCAGUUAUUCCUGCCACCCUAACUGAGGCACCAGACCCAUGAGCAAAGAAACCAUCAUGGAUGUCCUGUCCCAUCCAGCUUCUGUGACUGUAACUGUAUGAGGACCCCAAUGAAAACCACACAGCUGAGCCUAGUCAACACACAGAGCUAUGGAAGAUAAUAGUAAAUUGUUGCUUUAAGCCACUUGGUGUUUAUUCAUUUGUUUGGAGGGGGUCGGGGGCAGAGAGAUUAUGCAGCAGUCGAAAACCAGAACACUUGCAUAAAUCUCUAUGAAGCUGGACAUCUCUCUAGACCUGAAGAAGCUCCAGAAUGCCCUGAGCCUGGCAUGACUACAGGGCCACUCUAUUCCCCCGCUGGAAUGAUCCAGAGUGCCAGGAAAACAGGCCCUUCACACAAGGCCCUGAGUCUGUUUCCUGGUUCCUCCAUGACUAGCUGCAAAACUUUAGACAAGCCAGUGCUCUCUCAGCCUGAAUUUUCCCAUCUGCAAAGUUAGGCAAUAGAGUCAAUGGAUCAUCAAAGAUUCUUCUGCUUCUCUGCCUCAUGAAAUAUCACUCUGUGCCUAAGAGAUGAACACACCACCUAGAAUUCCCCCUCUAGGCGUGCCCUUUCUCGGUUCACUCACAUGAUAGGCAUAAAGGCACAAGGAGAAAGGAGCUCAUCUGCGCUGUUUCUGGGCUUCAGGAAUCUCCAGUCACCAAGUGAGGCUGUGGGAGGGCCAGACAUGCCAGCCAGUACCCAGGUUCCCAGCUCCAUGCCCCUCCUCAGCCUCCCUUGAGUUUUUCAGUGCUAAAGAGGGAGCACCUGCUCCAAGGCCCAGGUAGUUCUGGAAUCCCAGCUCUACCUGAGAAGAGGAAGUUCCUGCCUGCCAAAGAAGAGGGGCCUCCUGAGAGGAGUAGGCUUCUCGGUGGCUGCAAAGCGUCUGGUGACAAUAUUUGUGUCUAAAAAUACAGCAGCUGAGAACCAGCUAAUUGCAGCCUCUGGAGUCAUUCAUAGCUCAGCGUUUCACACCACACUUGCACCUCUUCCAGUGUUUCUCAGGAGCUGCCACGAAGGAGGCCACUUAUGGGUGGAAACCCAGCCAGGAGGGCCCAGGAUUGGGCCUAAGGUCCAGGGCAUCCUUUCACCCAAGAGCCCAGCCUGGUACCAGUAUGUAGCUGGCACCUAGGAAUAGAGCAAAGAGAGCAAGUUUCUCAAGUCAGCUGAAUCCCCCCCCCUCUACUCAGAUGCCCUUGGCCACUUGCCCAUCAGGAUCCAUUCAGACCUGUUGGGGCCCCUCAAAAGGCAAUGGCCCAGGUAUAACUUCAUGAGUGAGAUGUACUCGAAGAGAUGCACAAGGUCCAGGAAUUACCUUGCUGGAGACGGCCUUCUGUCCUGGACCUGCAGCCGGCAGGGUGCUAACCUUUGAGCUAGGACCUCUGCUGGACUGGGUCAUGGGCUAAGCAGGGGUUGGGACCCCAUAGCUCCCUGCUGUGGAUCCUCCUUUCUUUCAGAGCUUCUCAGAUGGCUCCUGUCUCGUCUACCAGGAUAAAGGGCAUGACUCAAGGUCACAGGAUGUGACGAUCUGAGAACUUCAGCCACAGCCUCUCUGGUGCCCCACACUGCCUGAACACACAGUGGACGAAGGUCAUGGCAAAAGUAGAAGGAACCCUGCGUGGGGAAUGUGUUUGCCUCAGGCUUUAGGAGAAGGAAUUUUUUUUUUCUUAAUCAGGGAGGCAUUUUAAAAGCACAAAGCCAAACUAACAUUUGUGUAGUAUUUUUCACUUGGCAAAAUGCUGUCACACACCUAGUGCUAGGUGGUUCCCAUGUUAAUUAGAUGAGGUGGUUAUUAUUAUGGCGUCCACUUUAUGGGUAAUUAAACUGAGGAUCAGAGGGGCUGAGUCAUUUCCCCAGGGUCACCAAAGUCAUGACCAGCCUUGAACUCAAGUCAGGAGCCCUCCUGCUGGGUCAGCAGGCCCAGCACCGCCUCCUGGCCCAGCUUAGAAGCUUGACUAGUCAGCCCCAUUGGGGUCCCAGAUUACAGAAAUGCCACACUCCGGCCACACAGCCCUGAAUCCAACCUAAAUCCAGCUCCAUCAACUUCCCCCUAUCUGCGAAAUUCAUUUGAAUCCCACUCUGAAUCUGGAUCCAUUAACCUUUGACCUAUGAGAAAUGAGUCAGAGCCUAAGAAAAAGCGGGCACCUAGAGAAAGCAGGGAGCAAAAAACAGAGUUUCUGAGAGCAGGGGCCCUCUGCUUGAUGGUCAGCUCCUCCCCUGGCACCUGGGCCAGGUCAGCCGAUGCUCUGUGUGGCCAAGAGAGGGCCAGACCUGGCCUCUGGCUGUGAGUGGCUGGGACGGCGAGCAAGACCCAGCUACAUAUCUGUCUUCAGCCCCUGCAACUGGGAGAGCAGCAACUCAGAGAUCAGCCGUUUCACCCUUCUUCCUAAUCACCGCGGGCGUGAUGGAACACCUUGACAUUCUUUAACGAAAGUUCAACUCCACUGCCACUCGGGGCGCUGCAUGAGGAAUGAGGUUUAUGUUGAAUCCCAGAAUCACAGAAAUUAGAGAUGAAAAAGGACGCUGAGGUCAGAGGCAGCCCAUCCCCAUGGGGCCAAGUGCACGUUCUUCUCGGUAAUAGACUUUCCCUUUAUUCCUCCAGUCCAGGUGGCUGCCUCCCUGAAGACCAUUCUCCACUGUUUCUUGGAGAAGACACUGUUGAUAGAAAUGAGAAGUCUGUGCUGAUCCCUGCAUGAUUUGCUUUGAAAUUUAUUAAUCAUCCAAAAGCUGGUGAAGAGGGGAAAAAAGAGAAUGUAAACUCAUCUGGUAGCCAGCGUGCCUGAGUGCGAAGAAGGAGGAGAGCCAGAACCCUCUGGGUUUCCAGCUUGCUAUAGCUCUAGGGCAGCAUGGGACAGUGUAGACUGAUCACUGACUUGCUAUGUAACCUGGCAAAAUUUUGACUUCCCUGAGCCUCAGUUUUCUCAUCUGCAAAAUGGGAGCUCAUGAUGCCUAUGCACAGGGCUGUUGGAAGAUUAGAGUUAACAAAGGUUUAGCACCUCAUAUUGUGCCUGACCCAUGUGAAUUACUCCGUAAAUGGUAACGAUUAUUACUAACAUUACUUUAUGACUCUCCCCUCUCCAGAUCCGUGUCCCUGUCUGUAACACAGGGCUAAGCAAGUUCUUCAGCUAUUGGGCUUCAUCCACUCAACAUUCCACUGGCACUUCCAGAGCUGCCACCACACUUCAGACUCCCAAGGCUAACAAUGACCAAGAAAGACAGAUUCUCUGACGUCAUGGAACUUACUGUCUUUAUGAAUUUCCAGGGAGAAGGGUGCUAAGAUGCUAACAUGGAUACUAACCAUCUGAUGCAAUAUUCUGCUGCACAGAUUGUGACCUAUGACUCACUGGGACAUGAUAGAGGUCACAGAAAUGCCAAUGACAUCCCAAAGACAGUGUGGGAGUGUGUUGUCUAGCUUCUUAGCAAACCCCACCCCCACGGUGGCAUGACCCCUGCACCAUCUUCUCCCACCCUGGGAUCUCCUUCCUACCCCUCUGCCCAUGUCAAUCUGGAAGGUACUUUUAUACACACACACACACACUCCUAAUAGCAUCUAAAUCAGUCACUCUCAACCUUGGCUGUGCAUUAGUGGUGCUUACCUAUGACAGGGCUAGGCCCAGGCCACACCCAAAUCCAUUAAAGCAGAGCGUCUGGGGUGGGACCCAAGCAUCAGAGUUAUUGGCAUCUUCCCAGCUCGAGAACCAGUGCUCUAAGCGGAUGUGGUCGUCGGGGGAAAGGCAAGGACCUCUGGUCUUUACAAUCUUCUUGAUAUCACUGAAUAACCUCAGUUUCUCUGUCUGGGCAAGGAGGGUACUAAUACCUCCCUCUCCAGGCCAUGAUGAAGGUAAAACAAUAUUCUGAAAGAACCUCAGGAAUCCUGCCCAGAUGAGAGGCACUGGCCCUGUGGCCUCUGGGCAGAUUCACUGGAGAAAGUGGUGGGUGUGAUGGUUUCCCUGGGGGCCAACACUGAGACUUCCCAGUGUUUGCUCUACCAGGGUGAGCAUCACUGUGGUGAAUGUCCCUUGCAGAGCUCACAUCUGUUGCACCAGGAUACUUCCCCUGAAG